rnacentral:rRNA from 1 species
AGGGUGCAAGCGUUAAUCGGAAUUACUGGGCGUAAAGCGUGCGUAGACGGUUGCGUAAGUCAGAUGUGAAAGCCCCGGGCUCAACCUGGGAAUUGCAUUUGAGACUGCGUAGCUAGGGUGCGGAAGAGGGAAGCGGAAUUUCCGGUGUAGCGGUGAAAUGCGUAGAUAUCGGAAGGAACACCAGUGGCGAAAGCGGCUUCCUGGUCCAGCACCGACGUUCAGGCACGAAAGCGUGGGGAGCAAACAGG